rnacentral:rRNA from 1 species
AGACCCGAAACCCGGUGAUCUAGCCAUGGGCAGGUUGAAGGUUGGGUAACACUAACUGGAGGACCGAACCGACUAAUGUUGAAAAAUUAGCGGAUGACCUGUGGCUGGGGGUGAAAGGCCAAUCAAACCGGGAGAUAGCUGGUUCUCCCCGAAAGCUAUUUAGGUAGCGCCUCGUGAAUUCAUCUCCGGGGGUAGAGCACUGUUUCGGCUAGGGGGCCAUCCCGGCUUACCAACCCGAUGCAAACUGCGAAUACCGGAGAAUGUUAUCACGGGAGACACACGGCGGGUGCUAACGUCCGUCGUGAAGAGGGAAACAACCCAGACCGCCAGCUAAGGUCCCAAAGUCAUGGUUAAGUGGGAAACGAUGUGGGAAGGCCCAGACAGCCAGGAUGUUGGCUUAGAAGCAGCCAUCAUUUAAAGAAAGCGUAAUAGCUCACUGGUCGAGUCGGCCUGCGCGGAAGAUGUAACGGGGCUAAACCAUGCACCGAAGCUGCGGCAGCGACACUGUGUGUUGUUGGGUAGGGGAGCGUUCUGUAAGCCUGUGAAGGUGUGUCGUGAGGCAUGCUGGAGGUAUCAGAAGUGCGAAUGCUGACAUAAGUAACGAUAAAGCGGGUGAAAAGCCCGCUCGCCGGAAGACCAAGGGUUCCUGUCCAACGUUAAUCGGGGCAGGGUGAGUCGACCCCUAAGGCGAGGCCGAAAGGCGUAGUCGAUGGGAAACGGGUUAAUAUUCCCGUACUUGGUGUUACUGCGAAGGGGGGACGGAGAAGGCUAUGUUGGCCGGGCGACGGUUGUCCCGGUUUAAGCGUGUAGGUGUGUGUUCCAGGUAAAUCCGGUUCACUUUAACACUGAGGCGUGACGACGAGGCACUACGGUGCU